UAUGUCCAUAUCACGUUGAAACACCGGCUCUCGUACGAUCACCGAAGUUAAGCAACGUCGAUCCUGGUCAGCACUUAUAUGGGUGACCACUUGGGAAUACCAAGUGCUGUAAG